GAUGAAUGCUGGCGGCGUGCCUAACACAUGCAAGUCGAGCGGCAGCGCGAGUAGUUUACUACUUGGCGGCGAGCGGCGGACGGCUGAGUAACGCGUGGGAACGUGCCCCAAAGUGAGGGAUAACGCACCGAAAGGUGCGCUAAUACCGCAUAUGAUCUUCGGAUUAAAGAAUUUAUUCGCUUUGGGAGCGGCCCGCGUCGGAUUAGGUAGUUGGUAGGGUAAUGGCCUACCAAGCCGACGAUCCGUAGCUGGUCUGAGAGGAUGACCAGCCAGACUGGAACUGAGACACGGUCCAGACUCCUACGGGAGGCAGCGGUGAGGAAUCUUCCACAAUGGGCGAAAGCCUGAUGGAGCAACGCCGCGUGCAGGAUGAAGGCCUUCGGGUUGUAAACUGCUUUUAUAAGUGAAGAAUAUGACGGUAACUUAUGAAUAAGCACCGGCUAACUACGUGCCAGCCGCCGCUGUAA
rnacentral:rRNA from 1 species